CAACAGUUGUCAACAUUGGGAACAGAGGCAGAACCAGACGGGUGAGAGUAAGAGGAGGUGGACGAGGAAGGCCAAAGACCGGAGUCUCUGAAAUCCAAGCCCCUUUGGUUGAUCAUGGGGUCAACCAUGGUCUAACGAUGAGGAGGCUGGGCAAAGAGUACAACUAAAUUUGAGCAGGUACACUUUCCGAAAUGAGAAUAGGUAAAAAAAAUCUACUCUCACUUGAAAAUGGCAGUACUGGACAUCCCUACAGUAUUCAGAAACUGAAAUCAUGAACAUGGUCCUAGAAAACAACGCCAUAAGAUUGUGGCAUAUACAAAGAACAAUGGUAAAAAAUGGUGACAUAUUUCAAAAUAUUAAUGGAGAAGCCUAUCAACAGUGUAUCAUCAAGACCGUGUCUUGUGCAGAAAUCAUCUCAGGAUGAAGCAGGUCUAUAGGGUGCCAUUUGAACGCAAUUCAGAAAGAGUCAAAGAAUUACGAUAUAACUAUGUGUAAAGAGUCCUGGAGCUAGAGGUGGCUGCAUAGGAGCACCAGUUCAUCUUCAUUGAUGAGGUUGGGUUUAGCGUCACAAAAAGACGAAAGAGGGGAAGGAAUAUCAUCGGACAGGUUGCCAUUGUUGAAGUCCCUGGCUAGCACAGAGGGAGCAUCACAAUGUGUGCAGCGCUUACCCACCACGGCGUCAUCCAUCACCAUGCUACCUUUGACCCCUAUCACCGUCCAUCUGAUGGCAUUCCUGGACACCCAACACAACACACUCAUUCCACCAGAUCAGGUAGAUGGCCCAGUGCAGCUCAAGUACGUUGUCAUAUGGGACAACUUAAGUUUCCACGGGGCUGCUCUCGUACAUAACUGGCUCACAGCCUACCAAUGCUUUUAAGUUGUUUAUUUCCCUCCAUAUUCUCUAUUCCUCAAUCCUAUUGAGGAUUUUUUUUUCUGAAUGUAGAUGGAAAGUGUAUAACUGGAAUCCACAAAUGAGUCUACCUCUUCUCCAAGCUAUGGAGGGCGCAUGUGGAGAUAGAGCAGCUCAUGCUUUUCAUAGCAGGGUUGGUCAUACUAGGCGGUGUUUUCCCUGCUGCUUGGCCAGUGAAACCAUUGCUUGUGAUGUGGAUGAAGUGCUGUGGACAGCGCACAACAGUUGUUGUUGUUUUGUAUGUAGUGUAUGUUGUGUUGUUUAGGAAUGGAAUGUACACCGUGUACAUUGUUUUUGUGGGGAUAAUAAAAUAAGCUUCUACCAUG